GAUAAACGCUGGCGGCGUGCCUAAUACAUGCAAGUCGAGCGAACAGAUGAGGAGCUUGCUCCUCUGACGUUAGCGGCGGACGGGUGAGUAACACGUGGAUAACCUACCUAUAAGACUGGGAUAACUUCGGGAAACCGGAGCUAAUACCGGAUAAUAUAUUGAACCGCAUGGUUCAAUAGUGAAAGACGGUUUUGCUGUCACUUAUAGAUGGAUCCGCGCCGCAUUGGCUAGUUGGUAAGGUAACGGCUUACCAAGGCAACGAUGCGUAGCCGACCUGAGAGGGUGAUCGGCCACACUGGAACUGAGACACGGUCCAGACUCCUACGGGAGGCAGCAGUAGGGAAUCUUCCGCAAUGGGCGAAAGCCUGACGGAGCAACGCCGCGUGAGUGAUGAAGGUCUUCGGAUCGUAAAACUCUGUUAUUAGGGAAGAACAAAUGUGUAAGUAACUAUGCACGUCUUGACGGUACCUAAUCAGAAAGCCACGGCUAACUACGUG
rnacentral:rRNA from 1 species